CCUACGGGUGGCUGCAGUCGGGAAUUUUGGGCAAUGGGGGCAACCCUGACCCAGCAACGCCGCGUGAGCGAUGAAGGCCUUCGGGUCGUAAAGCUCUGUCGGGAGGGAAGAAGGCUCUCGGGGUGAAUAAUCCCGGGGGAUUGACGGUACCUCCAAAGGAAGCGCCGGCUAACUCCGUGCCAGCAGCCGCGGUAAUACGGGGGGCACAAGCGUUGUUCGGGAUCACUGGUCGUGAGGCGGAUGUCCGCGGGCCUAACCCCGGAACUGCACUCGAAACUGCCUCGCUAGAGUCUCGGAGAGGGUGGUGGAAUUCCCGGUGUAGUGGUGAAAUACGUAGAUAUCGGGAGGAACACCAGCGGCGAAGGCGGCCACCUGGACGAUGACUGACGCUGAGACGCGAAAGCGUGGGGAGCAAACAGGAUUAGAUACCCUUGUAGUC
rnacentral:rRNA from 1 species